rnacentral:miRNA from 15 species
AUAAAUGCCUCAUCCUUGGGA